CAAGGCACCAUCAUUAAAGUCACCAUCUGGCAUAACUGGAAAUGUCAGCAAAUAGGGAGUGCAUAUUGAUGGGCAUACUACUGUUUAUGCCUUUUAACUGGAAGCUGAUCCCUGUGGAUUACACACCUGAGCAUCCUCCUACUAGCUUCUGGUUAAAUUCAGCUAGUGAAGAUCAAGAGUGAUCAGAGGACUGAAAGAAAGAGACUGAGCACUACCUUGAUCCACUUGAGAUUGCUUAUGUCCUCCUUGAACAUGGCAAACCCCUGCCUGAGGGACUAGUCUCGAUGUUGCCCAAACUACCAAGGAAGAAGGAGGCCUGAGAUACUGCAUCGGCUUCAGUCUUUGCUUCCCAAGAUAAUUCAGAAUUAGUUACAACAUGAUGAGAAUUCUAUACUUCAGGAAAGAAUAGGUUUGCAGCAGGCCUGCAACCUUCAGGAAAGAAGAAAGGCAAGUGACCAUCUUUAAAAAAAAAAAGAGUUGGGAUUUAAAAGCAGUCUGUCAAACAAAGUAGUAUCUGUGCUAUGUAUGGACAAGAUUCUCCAAAACAAAUUUCUCCUUUCCUUCUGCAAAUAAAUCCCUGGAGGCCAGUUGAAAUAAAUUAGUAGACUAGUGUCUCUCACAAAUCUAUUUAGAGAGGUUUUUUGAAUAGUUGGAAG
rnacentral:lncRNA from 1 species